rnacentral:tRNA from 3 species
UCCGGAAUAACUCAGUUGGUAGAGUACCUGACUGUUAAUCAGGGGGUCGCAGGUUCGAGUCCUGCUUUCGGAGCCA